UUGACUCGGCAAAAUCGCCAAAAUUGCGAGUCAACUAGGUGAGAAUCCUUGAGCUUAUUAGCACAAGCUCACUUUCUUGGGAAAUGUGGGCUUCUUUUUGGCCCAACAGCAAAUAAAACAAUGCAGGACAUAUCGACGUUUCAGUGAAAUAAAAUAACUAAAUAAAAUAAAGAAAAAUAAUUCCCUCAUGCCCAAUUCAGAACAAUACAGCAAGCUCUCUCUUGAUUCAACGAAGCAGCCAUAAAAAUCCCCUUCAUCACCAAGCAACCAUCACAAAAGCUUCAUCACCACCCCAUCACCUUUGACCAUUCAGCAACACAAAAUAAUAAAGCUUCGAAGUUUUUUGUAGUACGCGAAUUUUCUCCUAGAUAAUCCUAAUUGUAACCAUAUUUCUCUAUUUCGUGCGGUCAGUCUAAUGUACUAGAUCAAUUUGCUUGUUACUAUCAUUUGUUAUAGUAUGCAUCAAACACAUUAUGUCCUUUGCGCUAUUUUAAAAGCUCUGUAAAAGCUUACCAUUUAAUAAUUCGAUCUUAUGAUUC